rnacentral:rRNA from 1 species
UACAGAGGGUGCAAGCGUUGUUCGGAAUUACUGGGCGUAAAGCGUGCGUAGGUGGUUCGUUAAGUCUGUCGUGAAAGCCCCGGGCUCAACCUGGGAAUGGCGAUGGAUACUGGCGGGCUAGAGUGCGGUAGAGGAGAGUGGAAUUCCCGGUGUAGCAGUGAAAUGCGUAGAGAUCGGGAGGAACAUCAGUUGCGAAGGCGGCUCUCUGGACCAGCACUGACACUGAGGCACGAAAGCGUGGGGGAGCAAACAGG